rnacentral:rRNA from 1 species
GACGAACGCUGGCGGCGUGCUUAACACAUGCAAGUCGAACGGAAAGGCCCUGCUUUUGUGGGGUGCUCGAGUGGCGAACGGGUGAGUAACACGUGAGUAACCUGCCCUUGACUUUGGGAUAACUUCAGGAAACUGGGGCUAAUACCGGAUAGGAGCUCCUGCUGCAUGGUGGGGGUUGGAAAGUUUCGGCGGUUGGGGAUGGACUCGCGGCUUAUCAGCUUGUUGGUGGGGUAGUGGCUUACCAAGGCUUUGACGGGUAGCCGGCCUGAGAGGGCGACCGGCCACAAUGGGACUGAGAUACGGCGCAGACUCCUACGGGAGGCAGCAGUGGGGAAUAUUGCAGAAUGGGCGGAAGCCUGAUGCAGAAACGCCGCGUGCGGGAUGACGGCCUUCGGGUUGUAAACAGCUUUCGCCUGUGACGAAGAGUGAGUGACGGUAAUGGGUAAAGAAGCACCGGCUAACUACGUG